rnacentral:rRNA from 1 species
CUCCCGGCGAGACCUCUGGGUCCACCUCCCACCCGUGUUUAUUUACCUUGUUGCUUCGGCGGGCCCGCCUUAACUGGCCGCCGGGGGGCUCACGCCCCCGGGCCCGCGCCCGCCGAAGACACCCUCGAACUCUGUCUGAAGAUUGUAGUCUGAGUGAAAAUAUAAAUUAUUUAAAACUUUCAACAACGGAUCUCUUGGUUCCGGCAUCGAUGAAGAACGCAGCGAAAUGCGAUACGUAAUGUGAAUUGCAAAUUCAGUGAAUCAUCGAGUCUUUGAACGCACAUUGCGCCCCCUGGUAUUCCGGGGGGCAUGCCUGUCCGAGCGUCAUUGCUGCCCUCAAGCACGGCUUGUGUGUUGGGCCCCGUCCUCCGAUUCCGGGGGACGGGCCCGAAAGGCAGCGGCGGCACCGCGUCCGGUCCUCGAGCGUAUGGGGCUUUGUCACCCGCUCUGUAGGCCCGGCCGGCGCUUGCCGAUCAACCCAAAUUUUUAUCCAGGUUGACCUCGGAUCAGGUAGGGAUACCCGCUGAACUUAAGCAUAUCAAUAAGCCGGAGGAAUAUAUUAUUUGUCU